rnacentral:ncRNA from 2 species
CCGGUUGUUUCACCAACCGUUCCCUACCCGGACGUGCGGAGCCGGUAACAGCACCGUGCGAAGCUUCGGGGACAAUGUAACCGCCGACUCAGUCGGUAUGUCGACCCGUGAGGAAAGACAUAAUCUGCCAGCAUCGAGGCGGAAAGGGGC